GUUUUUGUUUACAUUCUCUAUGGCGAUAACUUCAAUGGGAAAAUGAUUUGACAUUAGUGAUCCAUACUUAAGAUUUUCAAAGCGUACAAAUGUGAUACACGACCCGGUGUACUUUACAAUAGUAAUUUAUAUAUUUUUAGUUUUUACAUGGAAAAUUGUUGUAUCACUUGGAUACAUUAAAGGUGCGUGCAGAAAAUUUUAUUUUCACCUGUAAUUUGAUAAGGUGUUGAACCAUAUGAGAUUAAAACACCUUUACAGGUAAG
rnacentral:lncRNA from 1 species